rnacentral:tRNA from 1 species
UAGCUCAGUAGGCAAAGAAUCUGCCUGCAAUGCAGGAGACCCAGGUUCAAUCCCUGG